GGAUUCGAAUGGGGGAACCCUGACGCAGCAACGCCGCGUGGAGGAUGAAGUCCUUCGGGACGUAAACUCCUUUCGAUCGGGACGAUAAUGACGGUACCGGAAGAAGAAGCCCCGGCUAACUUCGUGCCAGCAGCCGCGGUAAUACGAGGGGGGCGAGCGUUGUUCGGAAUUAUUGGGCGUAAAGGGUGCGUAGGCGGUUUUGUAAGUCUUAUGUGAAAUCUAUGGGCUCAACUCAUAGACUGCAUGAGAAACUGCAGGGCUCGAGUAUGGGAGAGGUGAGUGGAAUUCCUGGUGUAGCGGUGAAAUGCGUAGAUAUCAGGAGGAACACCUGUGGCGAAAGCGGCUCACUGGACCAUAACUGACGCUGAAGCACGAAAGCUAGGGGAGCAAACAGGAUUAGAUACCCUGGUAGUCCUAGCCCUAAACGAUGACUGCUUGGUGUGACGGGUACCCAAUCCCGCCGUGCCGUAGCUAACGCGUUAAGCAGUCCGCCUGGGGAGUACGGUCGCAAGGCUGAAACUCAAAAAAAUUGACGGA
rnacentral:rRNA from 1 species